UUUGCUGUUUUCUUUUUUGUUUCCUCCACCAGAGGUCGCCAUGAGGUGGAGACUGGAGGGCGUGACCACCGGCAGCAGUAUUACCUGCGCACCUGUAAGCUAUCAGCUGAUCUGGAGGAGUUUAAGAGGAGGGAGCAGCCAACACUUCUUUGCCAGAGUGUUAGCCUGAUAUGGUGACCCGAAAAGAACUCUUGAGAACUAUCCGUUGAACCCUGAACCUCCGGCUGCCUCCACAAUAUCAUUGCCCUCGUGACGCCACGGAAAAUACCCGCUGGUCGCCCUCCAACGCCGUGCACCUCCUGAUCUCCUGCAGCAAACCCUCCAUCACUUUCCUCCACCCCGGUACCACCGAAACCUCCCAGGCGCAGAUCAUCACCUAAUCCAUGAACCAGACCCGGCCGUUUUCACCUUUGGUCCCCCGACCCAGAUUUCACCGUUGUUUUUCAAUAA